AACGAACGCUGGCGGCAGGCUUAACACAUGCAAGUCGAACGCCCCGCAAGGGGAGUGGCAGACGGGUGAGUAACGCGUGGGAAUGUGCCCCAAGGUACGGAACAACACCGGGAAACUGGUGCUAAUACCGUAUGUGACCGAGAGGUGAAAGAUUUAUCGCCUUGGGAUCAGCCCGCGUUAGAUUAGCUAGUUGGUGAGGUAAUGGCUCACCAAGGCUACGAUCUAUAGCUGGUCUGAGAGGAUGAUCAGCCACACUGGGACUGAGACACGGCCCAGACUCCUACGGGAGGCAGCAGUGGGGAAUCUUGGACAAUGGGCGCAAGCCUGAUCCAGCCAUGCCGCGUGAAUGAUGAAGGCCUUAGGGUUGUAAAGUUCUUUCGUCGGGGACGAUAAUGACGGUACCCGAAGAAGAAGCCCCGGCUAACUUCGUGCCAGCCGCCGCGGUAA
rnacentral:rRNA from 1 species